GGAUGCGAUCAUACCAGCACUAAAGCACCGGAUCCCAUCAGAACUUCGAAGUUAAGCGUGCUUGGGCGAGAGUAGURAUAGGAUGNN
rnacentral:rRNA from 16 species